GACGAACGCUGGCGGCGUGCUUAACACAUGCAAGUCGAACGGAAAGGCCCUGCUUUUGUGGGGUGCUCGAGUGGCGAACGGGUGAGUAACACGUGAGUAACAUGCACUUGACUUUGGGAUAAAUUCAGGAAACUGGGGCUAAUACAGGAUAGGAGAUCCUGCUGCAUGGUGGGGGUUGGAGAGUUUCGGCGGUUGGGGAUGGAAUCGCGGCUUAUCAGCUUGUUGGUGGGGUAGUGGCUUACCAAGGCUUUGACGGGUAGCCGGCCUGAGAGGGUGACCGGCGACCUUGGGACUGCGAUACGCCCCAGACGCCUACGUGAGGCAGCAGUGGGGAAUAUUGCACAAUGGGGGGAAGCCUGAUGCAGCAACGCCGCGUGCGGGAUGACGGCCUUCGGGUUGUAAACCGCUUUCGCCUGUGACGAAGCGUGAGUGACGGUAAUGGGUAAAGAAGCACCGGCUAACUACGUG
rnacentral:rRNA from 1 species